GCUGACUCUCUUUUCGGACUCAGCCCGCCUGCACCCAGGUGAUUAAAAGCUUUAUUGCUCACACAAAGCCUGUUUGGUGGUCUCUUCACACGGACGCGCAUGAAAGAAAUUACUUUUUUUCAAGAAUGAGUUCAUGUCCUUUGCAGGGACAUGGAUGAAGCUGGAAGGCACCAUUCUCAGCAAACUAACACAGGAACAGAAAACCAAACACCGCAUGUUUUCACUCAUAAAUAAUACAUGAAGCCGGGCACAGUGGCUCACACCUGUAAUCCCAGCACUUUGGAAGGCCGAGGCGGGCAGAUCACCUGAGGUCAGGAGUUCAAGACCAGCCUGGGCAACAUGGAGAAACCCCGUCUCUACUAAAAAUACAAAAAUUAGCUGGGUGUGAUGGCACGAGCCUGUAAUCCCAGCUACCUGGGAGGCUGAGGCAUGAAAAUCUCUUGAACCUGGGAGGGGAGAUCGCGCCACUGCCCUCCAACUUGGGUGACAGAGUGAGGCUCCAUCUCAAAAAAAAGAGUACAUGAAAAGUUCCCAAAUCAUAAAUCAAAAAAAAUUGUUUGAAAGUUUAUUUACAACCAACAUCUCAUUUCCCCGUAAGUCUCCAUUUCUUCUCAUAUGCACUGCAGAUAACAAAACCA
rnacentral:lncRNA from 10 species